CUGUGGGCGUCGAAGGGGAUUUCCCGGCGCGAAGGCUUCAGGCGGGGAAGCUGGACUCAGGACGCAGGCCUCCCUUCACAGCCCCACGUCCACUAAGCAUUAAGGCCGCAGACCUCUCUCUUCCACUGCUGACCUCCUUGCUGCAUUUUCUGCUGGUCACCUUCAGGUCUGGACUUCUGAGUUUGUGCUCUUCAUUGUCUGGGGCUGUUGAUGGGUCCUGAGACUGGUGUAUGGGCAUCUUCCUUCCUGGCUGCCAGGGUCGCCUCGGGGCAUAAUUAAUCGUGCCCAGGUUCUGGGUUGUGCUUAAAAAAUUCUGCACAGGCCCCAGCAGGUAGGGACUGCUCUCAAGACUUCUGGACUUGCCCCCGUGG
rnacentral:lncRNA from 1 species